UUAAGCGACUAAGCGUACACGGUGGAUGCCCUGGCAGUCAGAGGCGAUGAAGGACGUGCUAAUCUGCGAUAAGCGUCGGUAAGGUGAUAUGAACCGUUAUAACCGGCGAUUUCCGAAUGGGGAAACCCAGUGUGAUUCGUCACACUAUCAUUAACUGAAUCCAUAGGUUAAUGAGGCGAACCGGGGGAACUGAAACAUCUAAGUACCCCGAGGAAAAGAAAUCAACCGAGAUUCCCCCAGUAGCGGCGAGCGAACGGGGAGCAGCCCAGAGCCUGAAUCAGUGUGUGUGUUAGUGGAAGCGUCUGGAAAGGCGCGCGAUACAGGGUGACAGCCCCGUACACAAAAAUGCACAUGCUGUGAGCUCGAUGAGUAGGGCGGGACACGUGGUAUCCUGUCUGAAUAUGGGGGGACCAUCCUCCAAGGCUAAAUACUCCUGACUGACCGAUAGUGAACCAGUACCGUGAGGGAAAGGCGAAAAGAACCCCGGCGAGGGGAGUGAAAAAGAACCUGAAACCGUGUACGUACAAGCAGUGGGAGCACGCUUAGGCGUGUGACUGCGUACCUUUUGUAUAAUGGGUCAGCGACUUAUAUUCUGUAGCAAGGUUAACCGAAUAGGGGAGCCGAAGGGAAACCGAGUCUUAACUGGGCGUUAAGUUGCAGGGUAUAGACCCGAAACCCGGUGAUCUAGCCAUGGGCAGGUUGAAGGUUGGGUAACACUAACUGGAGGACCGAACCGACUAAUGUUGAAAAUUAGCGGAUGACUUGUGGCUGGGGGUGAAAGGCCAAUCAAACCGGGAGAUAGCUGGUUCUCCCCGAAAGCUAUUUAGGUAGCGCCUCGUGAAUUCAUCUCCGGGGGUAGAGCACUGUUUCGGCAAGGGGGUCAUCCCGACUUACCAACCCGAUGCAAACUGCGAAUACCGGAGAAUGUUAUCACGGGAGACACACGGCGGGUGCUAACGUCCGUCGUGAAGAGGGAAACAACCCAGACCGCCAGCUAAGGUCCCAAAGUCAUGGUUAAGUGGGAAACGAUGUGGGAAGGCCCAGACAGCCAGGAUGUUGGCUUAGAAGCAGCCAUCAUUUAAAGAAAGCGUAAUAGCUCACUGGUCGAGUCGGCCUGCGCGGAAGAUGUAACGGGGCUAAACCAUGCACCGAAGCUGCGGCAGCGACGCUGAUGCGUUGUUGGGUAGGGGAGCGUUCUGUAAGCCUGCGAAGGUGUGCUGUGAGGCAUGCUGGAGGUAUCAGAAGUGCGAAUGCUGACAUAAGUAACGAUAAAGCGGGUGAAAAGCCCGCUCGCCGGAAGACCAAGGGUUCCUGUCCAACGUUAAUCGGGGCAGGGUGAGUCGACCCCUAAGGCGAGGCCGAAAGGCGUAGUCGAUGGGAAACAGGUUAAUAUUCCUGUACUUGGUGUUACUGCGAAGGGGGGACGGAGAAGGCUAUGUUGGCCGGGCGACGGUUGUCCCGGUUUAAGCGUGUAGGCUGGUUUUCCAGGCAAAUCCGGAAAAUCAAGGCUGAGGCGUGAUGACGAGGCACUACGGUGCUGAAGCAACAAAUGCCCUGCUUCCAGGAAAAGCCUCUAAGCAUCAGGUAACAUCAAAUCGUACCCCAAACCGACACAGGUGGUCAGGUAGAGAAUACCAAGGCGCUUGAGAGAACUCGGGUGAAGGAACUAGGCAAAAUGGUGCCGUAACUUCGGGAGAAGGCACGCUGAUAUGUAGGUGAAGUCCCUCGCGGAUGGAGCUGAAAUCAGUCGAAGAUACCAGCUGGCUGCAACUGUUUAUUAAAAACACAGCACUGUGCAAACACGAAAGUGGACGUAUACGGUGUGACGCCUGCCCGGUGCCGGAAGGUUAAUUGAUGGGGUCAGCGCAAGCGAAGCUCUUGAUCGAAGCCCCGGUAAACGGCGGCCGUAACUAUAACGGUCCUAAGGUAGCGAAAUUCCUUGUCGGGUAAGUUCCGACCUGCACGAAUGGCGUAAUGAUGGCCAGGCUGUCUCCACCCGAGACUCAGUGAAAUUGAACUCGCUGUGAAGAUGCAGUGUACCCGCGGCAAGACGGAAAGACCCCGUGAACCUUUACUAUAGCUUGACACUGAACAUUGAGCCUUGAUGUGUAGGAUAGGUGGGAGGCUUUGAAGUGUGGACGCCAGUCUGCAUGGAGCCGACCUUGAAAUACCACCCUUUAAUGUUUGAUGUUCUAACGUUGACCCGUAAUCCGGGUUGCGGACAGUGUCUGGUGGGUAGUUUGACUGGGGCGGUCUCCUCCUAAAGAGUAACGGAGGAGCACGAAGGUUGGCUAAUCCUGGUCGGACAUCAGGAGGUUAGUGCAAUGGCAUAAGCCAGCUUGACUGCGAGCGUGACGGCGCGAGCAGGUGCGAAAGCAGGUCAUAGUGAUCCGGUGGUUCUGAAUGGAAGGGCCAUCGCUCAACGGAUAAAAGGUACUCCGGGGAUAACAGGCUGAUACCGCCCAAGAGUUCAUAUCGACGGCGGUGUUUGGCACCUCGAUGUCGGCUCAUCACAUCCUGGGGCUGAAGUAGGUCCCAAGGGUAUGGCUGUUCGCCAUUUAAAGUGGUACGCGAGCUGGGUUUAGAACGUCGUGAGACAGUUCGGUCCCUAUCUGCCGUGGGCGCUGGAGAACUGAGGGGGGCUGCUCCUAGUACGAGAGGACCGGAGUGGACGCAUCACUGGUGUUCGGGUUGUCAUGCCAAUGGCACUGCCCGGUAGCUAAAUGCGGAAGAGAUAAGUGCUGAAAGCAUCUAAGCACGAAACUUGCCCCGAGAUGAGUUCUCCCUGACUCCUUGAGAGUCCUGAAGGAACGUUGAAGACGACGACGUUGAUAGGCCGGGUGUGUAAGCGCAGCGAUGCGUUGAGCUAACCGGUACUAAUGAACCGUGAGGCUUAACCUU
rnacentral:rRNA from 1 species